AUAGGUUGGGAUUGAACGGUGGUACAUGAGAAGUAACCUCUAUUCUCCUCAGUCUCGUGUCUAGUGAGCCGAGAGCGCUCUGGAAACCUCCAAAAGGGGAGGUAGGUUCCCGAAAAUUGGAUUGUUGAUGGGAACGGUGAAGUAAGGGGUCGUGAAAAAAAUUUUGUUUUUUUGGUGGAUAGGGUAGAUAACCAUUGAUUGGAGGUGGUUUUACGAACGAACGUGGAGAGGGUUCGGCGUGGGAGAAGUCACAUCUCAGUCCCUUCAUGCAGAAACCUUUCCUGCGUAAGAAAGGGCAGAAUACACAGCUUUUUGACACACCGGGCAUGCGACGGGGUUGGGGGGCAUUAAUUAAGUUCUGAUGGG